rnacentral:rRNA from 1 species
GCAUAUCAAUAAGCGGAGGAAAAGAAACCAACAGGGAUUGCCUUAGUAACGGCGAGUGAAGCGGCAAAAGCUCAAAUUUGAAAUCGGCCACCAGGUCGAGUUGUAAUUUGUAGAUUGUAUCUUGAGAGCGGAUUAAAGUCUGUUGGAACACAGCGCCUUAGAGGGUGACAGCCCCGUAAAAUCUAUUCUCAUUGUAAGAUACUUUCGAAGAGUCGAGUUGUUUGGGAAUGCAGCUCUAAGUGGGUGGUAAAUUCCAUCUAAAGCUAAAUAUUGGCGAGAGACCGAUAGCGAACAAGUACAGUGAUGGAAAGAUGAAAAGAACUUUGAAAAGAGAGUGAAAAAGUACGUGAAAUUGUUGAAAGGGAAGGGCAUUAGAUCAGACUUGGUGUUUUACGAUUAUCUUCUCUUCUUGAGUUGUGCACUCGUAUUUCACUGGGCCAGCAUCGAUUCGGAUGGCAAGAUAAUGGCAGUUGAAUGUGGCUUCACUUCGGUGGAGUGUUAUAGCUUCUGCUGAUAUUGCCUGUCUGGAUCGAGGGCUGCGUCUUUUGACUAGGAUGCUGGCGUAAUGAUCUAAUGCCGCCCGUCUUGAAACACGGACC